rnacentral:rRNA from 1 species
AGAUUGAACGCUGGCGGCGUGCCUAACACAUGCAAGUCGAGCGGUAACAGGCGUAGCAAUACGUGCUGACGAGCGGCGAACGGGUGAGCAAUGCUUCGGAAUCUGCCCAAUGAUGGGGAAUAACCAGUCGAAAGAUUGGCUAAUACCGCAUACGCCCUACGGGGGAAAGCGGGGGUCGCAAGACCUCGCGUCGAUGGGAUGAGCCGAAGUCGGAUUAGCUAGUUGGUAGGUAACGGCCUACCAAGGCGACGAUCCGUAGCUGGUCUGAGAGGACGACCAGCCACACGUGGGACUGAGACACGGCCCAGACUCCAGGGAGCAGCGAGUGGGGAAUAGUUGGAACAAGUCGGGGACAACCCUGAUCCAGCGACGCCGCGUGUGUAGAAGAAGGCUGGCGGUU